rnacentral:rRNA from 1 species
AACGAACGCUGGCGGCGUGCUUAACACAUGCAAGUCGAGCGAGAAAGGGGGGGGCAACUCCCCUGAGUACAGCGGCGCACGGGUGAGUAACGCGUGGGUAACCUACCCCUCGGCGGGGGAUGACUACUCGAAAGGGUGGCUAAUACCGCAUGAGACCACGGGGUCCUCGGACCCUGAGGCCAAAGGUCGCGCCGGCUUGCCGGCGCGGUCACCGGGGGAUGGGCCCGCGUCCGAUUAGCUAGUUGGCGAGGUAACGGCUCACCAAGGCUUCGAUCGGUAGCUGGACUGAGAGGAUGAGCAGCCACACUGGAACUGGAACACGGUCCAGACUCCUACGGGAGACAGCAGUGAGGAAUAUUGCGCAAUGGGGGAAACCCUGACGCAGCAACGCCGCGUGGGUGAAGAAGGCCUUCGGGUCGUAAAGCCCUUUCGGACGGGACGAACGCUCCGCGGUGACAAGCCGCGGAGCCUGACGGUACCGUAAGAAGAAGCACCGGCUAACUCCGUGCCAGCCGCCGCGGUAAUAC